UAUGGAAGAUCAGUGGUAGAACCUGUAAUAGAACUCAAAUCUUCUGACUCACUGUUCUGUUCAUCAGACUUGUUAAGCAAUAAAGAUCAAGUUUACAUAAGUAGUUUGGCAAAAGCAAGAUGGACCAGAGCUAUUCAGAAGAAGUAAAAGACCCCAUUUAUUCAUCUCCUGUGUAUGCUUGAGUGAGUUCUUCAGAUGUGUGAAACUGUGACUCAGAGAUGCUUGGUAUUUGCAGAAGGUAAUAAUCAGGCUUCUGUUUAAAAAACAAUAAAUUAGAAGAAGAAAAACCUUCCUCUGAUGCUAUUGAGGGUCUUCCUCUGAUUGUUCCCCGUAUGGCUCAGUGCUCUGUACCUGACUGUGGAAGCUUUCCAUUAUAAAGACUUUUAAAGUAUUAUAGCAGACAUUACAAUGUAUUGAGUUAUCUGAACACCUCCUGUAUUAAGCACAUGAUUAGUUUAGAAAAAGUAAUGUGAUCACUUCUGACAAAUCAUUGUUAAUAUUUCAGAUUGUGUAACUUCAUUUUUGUUUGACGU